rnacentral:misc_RNA from 1 species
GAGCUCACCGGCAUUACCGUCGCGAGGGAAACGAAGAUGUCGCACGCAUGUGAAGCCGUCGGCAAAGCAGCACCUUAGCAUACCCCAUCUUUUCGUAAAGUGAAGUGGCCCCUGCAGAUAUGGGGGUUUCAAGACAAAAAAAAAAGAAGCUCAAAAGCGCGAUAUCUUGUACAUUACAAGUCUCUUACGAGCGACUCUCUUGAUGGGCCGUAGCACGCGCGCACUCCACUUCUCUACGACGCGGUGUUUUCUCUUAUUAUUUACUUGCUUGCUCCCCCUCCCACUCCCCCGCUGCACUCUCGUUUUGCUUUUUGUCUUGCUUGUACUCUUCCUCCUUUCGUUGAUGUGCCUGCGGUAGCUGCUUUUCUGUCUCAGCCCUAGCUCUGCGUACGUGUGUGCGUGUGUUUAGGUGGAAAGCUACUCGUGCAGCCUUCAUGCAUAAACGAUGCGUAAAUACGCACCAUACACACAAGACGGCAGAACGACAAGACAGCCACUUUUACGGAGCACUGCAGCAACAGGGAAAGGAGCACAAACUAAAAGAAAAAAUGCAGUCCGAAAAAAAAGGAAAAUACAUUGUUAUUUUCUUUUUUCAGUCUUUUUUCUUUGUUUACGUCACGCAUGUGUUCGUGUCGUCGUCUUUUCUUCCCUCAUCAUCAUCAUCUCUCCCUCUCAUGGACGCCGCAACUGAAGCGGCCCAAGAUCAUGAAGGGAAGCAAAAGAAAAACUUAUGUGUGCAUCUGAAGUCAAAACUAUCGGAACUCUGGCUCUUUGGGUGACUGCAGCAGCAUCGAUGUGUAAUAUAUAUAUAUAUAUAUUUGUUACCGCACGCGAACAGCCAAAGACGACUGGAUUUCCUCUUCAGCCGCAGGCUGGGCGAAAGAAAAAAAAGCACAGCUUCAC